GGGUCAUUAGGUUGGUCGUGCCACCGGUACGUACUGGUCUCACUGAUUCCUCCUUCCUGAAUAACCGUAAUGCCAUUAAUUUGGUGUUGCGGGGAAACAGGACUGUUACUUUGAAAAAAUUAGAGUGUUUAAAGCAAGCUAACGCUUGAAUACAUUAGCAUGGAAUAAUGAAAUAGGACGAUCGAUCCUAUUUUGUUUGUUUCUAGGAUUGACGUA
rnacentral:rRNA from 1 species